CUGACCGUGCCUGAGUAAGCCCCAUGGGAACACAGCCGUGGUGGGAAGCAGCUUCCCAGCAGCCCUCCCCGCCAUCGGGAGAAUCCCCUGAGGCCAUGAGAGGGUCUCAGGGAGGUGGACGGCCCAUCAAGUGAGAACCGAGGGCACUGUGCACUCCUGAAUCCUAGGACUCCUCUUAGGUCAUUGACUAACAACAUCAACAAUGAAAUGAAUCUGAGAAAACAGGAAAUUGAGAGCAAGAGAAAAAAAAGUUAAUUAUACUGAUUUUGUAUAAGACCCCUUUGAACACAUUUUUAAAAAAUCAAAUAGAAGGUGCCCAGGUCCACUGUGCCUUGUGAAUAUUUGUCUUGUAUAUCCUAGAGAUCUACGCAUUCAUGUGGGAAUUGAAAAGGACCCACAUUUUACUAGAAGCAUCGUUCAUUUUUGCCUCAAAACAAUGCCCACAUGUCAGAAGAACUUUCACAAUUCACAGGAACAGUGACCUAAUUAACCAACCAUAAAAUUGCCAAAUCCCUACUUCUCAUUGUUUAAUAUGCUUAGAAAACCCAUUCAAAUUGUG
rnacentral:lncRNA from 1 species